AGUGAACGCUGGCGGUAGGCCUAACACAUGCAAGUCGAACGGCAGCACAGUAAGAGCUUGCUCUUACGGGUGGCGAGUGGCGGACGGGUGAGGAAUACAUCGGAAUCUACUUUUUCGUGGGGGAUAACGUAGGGAAACUUACGCUAAUACCGCAUACGACCUACGGGUGAAAGCAGGGGAUCUUCGGACCUUGCGCGAUUGAAUGAGCCGAUGUCGGAUUAGCUAGUUGGCGGGGUAAAGGCCCACCAAGGCGACGAUCCGUAGCUGGUCUGAGAGGAUGAUCGGCCACACUGGAACUGAGACACGGUCCAGACUCCUACGGGAGGCAGCAGUGGGGAAUAUUAGACAAUGGGCGCAAGCCUGAUCCAGCCAUACCGCGUGGGUGAAGAAGGCCUUCGGGUUGUAAAGCCCUUUUGCUGGGAAAGAAAAGCAGCAGGUUAAUACCCCGCUGUUCUGACGGUACCCAAAGAAUAAGCACCGGCUAACUUCGUG
rnacentral:rRNA from 1 species